UACGUAGGGCGCAAGCGUUGUCCGGAAUUAUUGGGUGUAAAGAGCUCGUAGGCGGUUUGUCGCGUCUGCUGUGAAAACUCGAGGCUCAACCUCGGGCUUGCAGUGGGUACGGGCAGACUAGAGUGCGGUAGGGGAGACUGGAAUUCCUGGUGUAGCGGUGGAAUGCGCAGAUAUCAGGAGGAACACCGAUGGCGAAGGCAGGUCUCUGGGCCGCAACUGACGCUGAGGAGCGAAAGCAUGGGGAGCGAACAGG
rnacentral:rRNA from 1 species